ACACCACACCCCCAGCCUAAACACUGACAUUGUUCCAAGUCAAUAGAGGGUUGGGGAAUCUGCAUUUUGCAAUGAGCAGCCUGGCUGAUUCUGAUGUAGAUGGUCCAAGGAACCAAGGAACUGUGGGGCACAUAGCCACAGACUAUGUUCAUGCAACAACUAUUUUUUAUUGAACGUUGGAUACAUGUAUCUGUCCAUUUCACAAAUUAUGUUUUAUUAUAUUAAAGAAUAAACCUCAUUUCUUCUACAACUUGAACAUCCAGCUUACUAUACACGGGAUCUGACUUAAUGUCAUACAGACCACUUACAAUGUGAUAGAAGCAUUGGAAGCAUUUGUUGAAAAAUAACAAUUUCACUCAAAGCACACUUUAUAGAUAGAGUUUUACAUGGUCACAGAGUUAAGUCUGAACAUUUAAAGGGAUCUGAGUCAUUCAUAUUAAUAUUGUGAAUUUCUUAUAAAUAAUUCAUUUGUUCAAGGAGUCCAGGCAAAGCCAAGCCGUGACAUUAUUUACACUAAGUACCACACCUGGAACUUGUUCUGAGUUAUUUAACACAGAGUACAUUUUUCAAUGCAAUAAAUAUUUACAGUUAAUAGUAGCAAGUACAAUUAUAAUUUAUGAAAUAUGAGUCUAAUAUUUAAAACAAAACAUAAAAUGACAUUAAAGAAGUUUGUGCCAUUUAUUUUUACAACUCACCGAAUUGACUGUUUUACGAAUUUUAUUACCCAAAACUCUACUGACUUGAAUGCAAGAAAGGUCAUGUUUGAAUCAGUAAAGCCCAGACUGCAGAAAAAAAAAAACUUUUAGAAGAUAAUGAGUUUUACUUUCUUAAUGUUAUACACGUAUUAUUAAUGUCAUUAGCUAAAAUGGAAGCAAAGUUAUGAAAAUCUGGAUUCACAACAGGCUCAAAUUAUAUAAUGUACCUUCAACAUUGAAGUUCUGAGUUAUGCCAACAUUUUUAAGCUUGUCUGGGAGUUAAUGAGGCCUUGAAUGUACGAGGUUUUACUGUCCAUUAAAAUUAUUCUUUUAAAAUGUCAUAAAAUUAUGUGAGUCCUUUCAUGUCAUUAUAUGACUCUGUGAGUGAAUUUUAAAUUGGGGGAAAAAAGGCAAAUAAUCUUAUCUUCUAGAAAUGUGAGCUCAGAGAGGGCCGAGAGACAGUGGUGUCUGUGUUUAGAACAGGGCACCUAGGGCUGGGCACUCAGAUACCUAAGUCCAUAUCUGAGUUUCUUAUCUGUCCCCUUAGUCCAGGAGAUGCUUUUCUGUUAGAGGCUAUUUAUGUAGCCUGGGUCCCCAGACUCUAGGAAACCAACCAUUGUCGUAUCUUACUCUAUUUUGGGGAAAGUGGGGGCGUAGGUGGUUCUACCUCUACCUGACACUUUUUCUCCAACUAAUUCUGAUUCAAAGAAAGAUGGCUAGAUUCGCUGUUCUCAUUUGGGUUUUCUCUCUAACUUGGUCCUUAGCAAGUUUUUUUCUCUCCUCAGACACAGAACUAGGUGGGAAAUUCUUCCCAGGGCUUCCAGUUGCAAGUGAAUUGUGUCUCUGAGUAGGGGAGAAGGAGGGUGCGAACAACUGACCUAAGGGACUUUCUGACUCACCCGCUUUGUGCUGCAUUUCAGCCUCUGCCCUCAACAAUUCCUUAAACUAGGUGCCUCAAUGCUCUUUGCAUACAUUCUUUGACUCUAUCAUUAGUUCAGGUCUCUGGACAAAACCUAGAAUAGGGAGUGGAGUUUUCUUCUAAGUACUGUGAACUUAAUUUUUCACACAGGUUGGAUUUGGGAAGCAAUGCUAAGCAGUGGAAUGGACAUCGACAUAGAGAGAUCAGCUCCACACUUAUACUCUGCCACUCAACUUCCCCAUGUGACUUGAGGAUCACUCUAACUCCAAAACAUAGCAAGCUCGCGGAACAUCAGGGUUCAUGCAAAGUAUUCCAAGGAGCCCCUUGAAGCAACAGAAUGGAUUGCUCUUCUAUGGUGGAAUGGCACCCUGGAUGAUUAAAACCGUAGCAGCAAACAAAACCUCCAUCAAGUAAGA
rnacentral:lncRNA from 1 species